rnacentral:tRNA from 1 species
GCCCAGGUGGUGAAAUUGGUAGACACACCACUUUGAGGGGGUGGCGCCGGUUGCGGUGUGCAAGUUCGAGUCUUGUCCUGGGCA